AGUAACCCACUCGGUUUCAUAUACUGAGUAGUGCUAGUCUUACUGGUUGGAAGUCAGGUCGCUGUGUGAUUUGAAGAAUUCGAUUCAAGUUCACCAUUGGUGAAAGUUUAUUAUAAUUUCAACUUCCUAGCUCAAACAACACCAUAACCGCCAGGCAUCCACGAUGAAGCCUAAACCUAUCAUCCUAUUGCUGUUAACUCAUGUGCUGAAGAAAGUUUACAUCGUUGAAGCCGUCAGCGACGACGAAUACUGCCGAAAGGAAAUUUGCCCCGAUGGGAAGCAAAAUAUUGGCUGCGGUUGCAACUCGAAAGCGAAAACGCCUUACGGAGCCCAGUGUGCCGGAAAGAAUCCUCGCCAAAUAUCUGUCAAAGGCAAACUGCGGUCUUUGAUCUUACGAGAGCAUAAUUCAAGACGGAAUGCGAUUGCUUGUGGGCAAGUCGCUCCAUAUCCACCCGCUGCCAAGAUGUUCGAAGUGCUGUGGGACGACGACCUUCAGAAUCUGGCCUGGUGUAAUGCAAGACGAUGCGUUUAUGGGCAUGAUGAGUGCCGUAAUACGAAAAAGUUCCAACCGGCAGGGCAAAACAUUGCAUCCAAGACAGCUUGUAAAAAAGAACCGUUGAAGCCUGAGGAUGUGAUAGUUAGCAGUAUUGAUGCAUGGUUUCUGGAACAUAGAAAUGCUACCCCGGCCAUAGUCGAGCGUUAUCCAGGAAAAGUAGCCAACGGUCCCAUAGGCCACUUCACUGUUCUUGUGAACGAUCGCGUUGAACGUCUCGGUUGCAGCCUAAUCGUGUACGACGCUCAGGUACGACCCGGUUCCAAGAAAUCCUGUCAAACCCAUUACCUGGUGUGCAACUAUUCUUCGACGAAUUUUAUUCAAGAGCCAACCUACAUCAAAAGUCGUUCACCAGCGCAACGAUGCACCAGUCGAUCGAAACAGUACUCCUGCCUCUGCGGUAGCGACACCAAACAGCCGUCGACCUGCUGAUGAUGCAAUCGGAGAAACCCUGAUAACACAGCUCGACCAUCGUUCGUUGAUUUACAGAGAAACCAGUUGGAAGCAGUUACGAGUGCCCACUUCUGUGAAAUAAUUUUCAUUUCUCAUCCGAAAUAUAUUUUCCAAAAGAUUGAACGGAAACAUAGAUUGC